AGCAGGUGCAGCCCAAUUGUCAGUCCCACCUGAUCUACAAGCUGCUGGUCUACUGAAGAAGGCUGGAUCCCUUUAAGUAAUCUACUGCGAUUGAGCAAGGAGCUUCAGUCUCGUGCAGUGGAAUCCUCCAAAUAUGUUAAUAAUGGACAUGCAUUCUUACCCUUGGGCCAGGAUAGCACUAGAGAAGAGCUUGCUGGAUCAGGCCCAUGCCCCAUCUAUUCCAUCAUUCUCUUCUUACAUUGGCCAACCAGAUGCCCACAAGAGGACCAAAAGCAGGUCCCGAGUACAACAGCACCCUCUCCGCUUGUGGUUCCCAGCUACCCAUCACCCGGCAAAGAGGAAUCUUGACUGUUGACACAGGAGCUUUCUAUGGGGACUGGGUGAUGACCUUUCAGUGUGAAGGUCAGACAGGCCUCUUCCAGUUUGGCUCCUUACGGCUUUGUGAAUAAACUUCCUAAACAGCACUGGGGGGGAGGGUAGCCAAUGAAAUGUCCACCAGAUGUUGUUGUAUUCCAUAGCCAGGAAUGACAGUUGUAGCUCAUCAACCUCUGGAGGGCACCAUAUUUGGCUACCCUUGCUAAAGAGGAGAUAGGACAGGGGAGCAGACUGCAAUGAAAGUGAUGGUAGAACACGAAAACAGUGCCUUGGGGAUCAUUGCCUUGGAGAGCCCAGGCCCACCAUUCCAAUCAUCCCUGAUCUUUCAUACUUCGGAAGUAUACUAACUGUUUGCAAAAUCAUACAGCCUUGGAGGUGAAUGUUCCACCACUUCUAUUUGCACUGGCAGAUGUGGAGAGAGAAAGAGAGAAAGUGUGUAUAGAUCAAGGGUGGGGAACCUGUGGCUCUCCAGGUGUUGCUGAACUACACCUCCUAUCAUCCUUAAUCAUUGGCUAUGUGGACUGGGGCUGAUGGGAGUUGAAGUCCAAUAACAUCUGAAGGGCCACAUUGAACCUUGUUUUUACUCAAGGGAAAUUCGCUCUUUAGUACUGGGAUAAGUGCUUGCAUUUUUGGACUUGUAUAAUGUAAGAGUUAGUUCCCGUUCUAGAAAGGGUAUUCACUUUCGCCUUGUGCAACUUGGCUGCUGCUACUGAUUGUAUCUAGUUUUCCUUCUGCUGCUAUACACCGUGGAUGGGAAUGGAGUUUUGAUAGAAGAAGGGAGAUGAUAUUUUGCAACCACUUAAUUCAAGCCCUUCCUUGGGCAGGCAGCCGUGGAGAACUUUCAGUUGCUGUCUGGCUACAUGCUAGACUGAUUCUUUGAUAAUAUGCAGAGUUAGUCUCUUGCAGCAAUAAAGUCUUGCAGCACCUUAGAGCUGAAGGCUUAGACGAACAGACUUACUGUAGCAUAAUAAGCUUUUGUGGGCUACAAUCCACGUUAUCAGGUGUGCAAAGUGUUGUCCUGAGUUGCAGGAUGUGUGUGAGGUUGGUUGGGAUGGUUGCCUGUCUGUGGGGGAGGGAGUGUUCACAGUUGUGUCCUCUCCCCCCCCAAAAAAAAACUCCUAUCUAUGUGUGUGUAAUACACACACAGCUCAGGAUUAUGCUUCAUUUAUAAAUAAAGUGGGCUCUGUUCUUAUGCCGUAAUAAAUUUGUUAGUCUUUCAGAUGCAGCAAAUGUGAAUGGUCUCUUCACAUAUUCUCACUCUAAACAGGAUUAAUUUGCUUCAGAUGUGCAUAAUUUUGUAAUCGCAUACAGUAUGUGACCCCUGAUUGGCUGAGGAUCCCUGAGGAGGAAUGAAAUUGGGGGUGGGGGAAGGAAUGACCAUUGAAGCAGCAGAAAGGGCAGAGGAGGCUCUGAAUAGUAGUGAACAGCCAUGAAAAAAAGGUUGGAUUUGGGGCAACUGCAAUCUUGGAAACAGUAAAACAUUUGGUAAAAAGUUAAUGGGGUCUUGCUUAUCACCCUAUUAUAUCUAGAUCUAUCUCCAUUUCCUUACUUUACUGUUGCUCAUCAAACCUGACCUAGGACUCCUGUUGUUCCACCCCCAAUUUAUGCCCAUCAAUUCUUUUUCAGCAUGCAUGAACCCUGGUCCACCUUUUCCUUUUGAGGUUUUAAGCACUGCCAGAUCAGUACUGAGACUGACCUUUCUUCUUCUUCAAGUACUUGUAGAUUAGAUGUUGGACCUGGACCAGGGGAUUACUAUUUCUGUACAUUUUGGAAUUUUGUAAGCUGUGCAACUUCGUUGCUUGUUUCAUUUGAUUUUUUAAAACAUGGUCUGUGAUAUUUUAUGCAUUGUGACUUUGCUGUUAUUUUUAUUUGUUAUAGUCUAGUAGUGAUUUUGUGUAAAGAUCGUUGUGGGGAGAGAUUUUCUGUUUAAUUAUUUGCUGAUUUUAAUGGUUGCUUUUAUCAUGUAACAGAUUUCAAGCGGAUUAUUGAAUAUUACUUUAAUUGAUUGACUUGCUUAUUUUUAUCGACUUGUCACAUUUUUCAUUAUGAUUUAUUUGCCUUGGAUCUGAUGGUUUUAUGGUGUGUGAUCUUGGUUGUAUAUUUUGUUGUUUCUGUGGCUUGUAAACUGCCUUGUGUUCAGCAGUGUAGAAAGGUGGUAUACAAAUUAAGAAUAAAAUGAAAAGAGUCUUUGUUGUUGUCUAUAAUAUAGUGGUAGGACCUGUGGGCUUGAGCUGCACUGUGGUGCUUAGCACAAGGCUGUGUGUUGAAGGGAAGGAGAUGAAAUCUUUGUUUCCUAAAAUGUUCAUUUUCGUCAUGUGUCUGCCAAGGUCUAGUAUGGUGAUUGAUGAGAUGAAAUAACCAAGAGGCAUUUCUGCUUCUUAUCGGUGAGGGUUCUGCAGUGUGUACUUUUUAAAAAGCCUGUGCCUCCAAAUCAAGGAUGGAGUAACCUGUGGCCCUUCGGUUGUUGUUUGGCUAAAGCUCCCAUCAAUCCCACACUAGAAUGAUAAUGUGAUAGGAGUUGCAGUCCAGCAACAUCUGGUGCCCCAUCCCUGUUCUAGACAGAGAAGCAGCCCAGGGAGAUUAAGGUAACCAAGGAAGUGGCUCUGUGCCAGACUAAAAAUGGGUGGGGCCCCCCUCCUCAAUUCCCUGGUAGUUAGAAAGAACAGAGUGGAGAGUUUAGUUGUGUGCAAGCUAGAAGCUAGAAUCAGGCCAGGAAACCAGGGCAUCAGAGUCAUGCCUGAUUUCUGCUUGAAUGCAAGCUAUGUGGCUAUGGGAGAAACAAGACCCUCUUCUUCGAGUGUUAAUGCUGUGAACCCCUUCAUCGUAGGCUCAGGUUGUAUAUAUGUGUAAAUAAUCCACAUAUCCUAAAGACACCACAGUCUCCGCUGUCUCUCAUUCUAAAGGAAACACAAACCCUGGGUAAGCGCCUGGAACCUCUGGAAUUUCACACUGCUCAGAGACUGGGGUAGAAUGCAACGUUACUACCCUACAGAAAGAAGCAUCUUCAGAGACAAGCUGUCAUUUACUCCUGUCGGUUAGUUUGUCAGUGGGGGAAUAUGCAGGUAAUAAAAAUUAAAACAAAUGAAUGUUUCAUACCAGUUAUUCUAAAAUGUGCUUGUUUGCAACAAGCUGAAAAGUACAUUUGAGACAAUAAUAAACUCCAUUUAAAUUA